GCGCUUGUGGCGGAAUUGGCAGACGCGCUAGACUUAGGAUCUAGUGUCUUCACGUGCAGGUUCAAGUCCUGUCAAGCGCACCA
rnacentral:tRNA from 1 species